rnacentral:rRNA from 1 species
GACGGACGCUGGCGGCGUGCUUAACACAUGCAAGUCGAACGGAAAGGCCCUGCUUUUGUGGGGUGCUCGAGUGGCGAACGGGUGAGUAACACGUGAGUAACCUGCCCUUGACUUUGGGAUAACUUCAGGAAACUGGGGCUAAUACCGGAUAGGAGCUCCUGCUGCAUGGUGGGGGUUGGAAAGUUUCGGCGGUUGGGGAUGGACUCGCGGCUUAUCAGCUUGUUGGUGGGGUAGUGGCUUACCAAGGCUUUGACGGGUAGCCGGCCUGAGAGGGUGACCGGCCACAUUGGGACUGAGAUACGGCCCAGACUCCUACGGGAGGCAGCAGUGGGGAAUAUUGCACAAUGGGCGGAGGCCUGAUGCAGCAACGCCGCGUGCGGGAUGACGGCCUUCGGGUUGUAAACCGCUUUCGCCUGUGACGAAGCGUGAGUGACGGUAAUGGGUAAAGAAGCACCGGCUAACUACGUG